GCUGAAAAUAACCAUGAGAGUAAGUGCUACAUCAUGUGUGUGUAACAAUUUAAAAAUGGAAAUAAUUUCCAUUUAUUCUCAAUUCCUAGAACGCAGUCCGAAAAAAGGAAUAAGUAAAAAGUUUCUGAGGCCCUAAAAUAACACAAGUUCUCAGCAAGCUUACAGGUGCAUACUCAGCAUCUCACUGACUUUUAAAGAAGUCUGAUGCUACCCUUUUUCAGAGCACAGCGGAUUAGCAGAUAACUAGGAGGGGACAGAAGCUGCUACACUGAUAGCAGAGUUAGGUGAUAUCAAACAGUAGACUACGAUCCAGUUAAAAAAAGGUUACGUGACAUUCUUUCUUGUUGUGAAAGGAAAGCAAUACGUUUUCAAAAUACCAAUUAUCCUACUUAAAAUACUGGAGGCGCGGGUUUUACGCCUUGGAGAGCAGGGGUCCAAUCCCUCCCGAUGCGGAUAACAGGGGCAGAGCCAAGGAAUGACAGCAGGGGGCGCCAAGGCGUGUCUUAGUUUAAAAACUCAUCUCCCCUGUAUUUAAAAAAGAGGCACUUUUGGGGGUAGGCUCUUCAUAAAGGAGGUUAUCCUCAACUUGGAAGAAUUCACGAGGCCGCCUCCGCAAAAGCUAUUAUCCAUGGUUCCUACGAAUCUUACAACAACCAGGCAAAAUUCGAAAAAAGCCCAGAGCGGCGUUAUGGAGAAGUCGACGCCAAGGAAACGCAGUCCUCAGGACCGUCAUCAUAAUUGGUCCGGGCCCCAGGACAAACUGGAGAAAGCUAAUUUUGCUCACCAAAUCAAUCACAUGAGGCAUCUGCUUCUGGUUAGCCAGCCUCAGCCGCCCACACCAAGCACACCUGAAGCCUUAUUUCCACUCUAAAGCUUUCUUUUUCCUCUGCUUGCCAUUGAGUCUCUGCCAAAUGCAAAUGAUGGUGGUUGACUUUUUUUGUUUAAAUAAAUCUGGAUAAAUAGUACCUGUUCUCA